rnacentral:misc_RNA from 1 species
UACACUUUGGACACAACCCAG